AGAAUAAGGGGUUGCUAACCUCGUGCCAGCAGCAGCGGUAAUACGAGGACCCCAAGCGUUAUCCGGAAUUACUGGGCGUAAAGCGUGAGCAGCCGGUUUUGCUAGUCUUAUGUUAAAUCUCACUGCUCAACGGUGAGACAGCGUGGGAAACGGCAAAACUAGAGCGGGUAAGAGGCAGACGGAACGUGCAGUGUAGGGGUGAAAUCCAUUGAUAUUGCACGGAACACCAAAAGCGAAAGCAGUCUGCUAGUGCUCUGCUGACGGUCAAUCACUAAAGCGUGGGGAUCAAAAAGGAUUAGAUACCCUUGUAGUCCACGCCCUAAACGAUACAUACUAGCUAUUGGGAGCAUCGACCCUUCCAGUGGCGAAGCCAACGCGUUAAGUAUGUCGCCUGGGAAGUACGAUCGCAAGAUUAAAACUCAAAGAAAUAGGCGGGAAUUUGCACAAGCGGUGGAACAUGUGGUUUAAUUCGACUCUAAGCGAGAAACCUCACCAAGGCUUGAAAUCCAGUUGCACGCUCCAGAAACGGAGAAGCCUUCGAGGGUGCUGGACAGGUGCUGCACGGCUGUCGUCAGCUCGUCAUGUGAAUGGUUUCCUUAAGUGGAUUAACGAGCGCAACCCCCAUCGUCUGUUAUAUGUGUCAGACGAAACUGCUUGCGUAAGCAAGAGGAAGGUGGGGAUGAUGUCAAGUCAGCGUGGCCCUCUGAUGCCUUGGGCUACACACAUGUUACAAUGGUNNGAUUGGAGGCUGAAACUUGCCUCCAUGAAGCUGGAAUCGCUAGUAAUCGCUGAUCAGAACGCAGCGGUGAAUACGUUCUCAAAUUUUGCACUCACUGCCCGUCAACUCAAGGGAGCCGGGAAUACCCGAAGAUCCGUAUUAUAUAUGGAGACACGGUAGGCUCGGUAACAAGGAGUAAGUCGUUGUUAUAAAACAUUAGUUGCGACUCGUCAA
rnacentral:rRNA from 1 species